GUGGGGAAUCUUCCGCAAUGGACGAAAGUCUGACGGAGCAACGCCGCGUGAGUGAUGAAGGUCUUCGGAUUGUAAAGCUCUGUUAAUCGGGACGAAAGAGCCUAGUGUGAAUAAUGCUAGGAAGUGACGGUACCGGAAUAGAAAGCCACGGCUAACUACGUGCCAGCAGCCGCGGUAAUACGUAGGUGGCAAGCGUUGUCCGGAAUUAUUGGGCGUAAAGCGCGCGCAGGCGGAUCUGCCAGUCUGUCUUAAAAGUUCGGGGCUUAACCUCGUGAUGGGAUGGAAACUACAGAUCUAGAGUAUCGGAGAGGAAAGUGGAAUUCCUAGUGUAGCGGUGAAAUGCGUAGAUAUUAGGAAGAACACCAGUGGCGAAGGCGACUUUCUGGACGAAAACUGACGCUGAGGCGCGAAAGCCAGGGGAGCGAACGGGAUUAGAUACCCUAGUAGUCC
rnacentral:rRNA from 1 species